AGCCUGAAUCAGUGUGUGUGUUAGUGGAAGCGUCUGGAAAGGCGCGCGAUACAGGGUGACAGCCCCGUACACAAAAAUGCACAUACUGUGAGCUCGAUGAGUAGGGCGGGACACGUGGUAUCCUGUCUGAAUAUGGGGGGACCAUCCUCCAAGGCUAAAUACUCCUGACUGACCGAUAGUGAACCAGUACCGUGAGGGAAAGGCGAAAAGAACCCCGGCGAGGGGAGUGAAAAAGAACCUGAAACCGUGUACGUACAAGCAGUGGGAGCACAGAGCAAUCUGUGUGACUGCGUACCUUUUGUAUAAUGGGUCAGCGACUUAUAUUCUGUAGCAAGGUUAACCGAAUAGGGGAGCCGAAGGGAAACCGAGUCUUAACUGGGCGUUAAGUUGCAGGGUAUAGACCCGAAACCCGGUGAUCUAGCCAUGGGCAGGUUGAAGGUUGGGUAACACUAACUGGAGGACCGAACCGACUAAUGUUGAAAAAUUAGCGGAUGACUUGUGGCUGGGGGUGAAAGGCCAAUCAAACCGGGAGAUAGCUGGUUCUCCCCGAAAGCUAUUUAGGUAGCGCCUCGUGAAUUCAUCUCCGGGGGUAGAGCACUGUUUCGGCAAGGGGGUCAUCCCGA
rnacentral:rRNA from 1 species